rnacentral:rRNA from 1 species
AAAACGACUCUUGGCAACGGAUAUCUCGGCUCUUGCAUCGAUGAAGAACGCAGCGAAAUGCGAUACUUGGUGUGAAUUGCAGAAUCCCGCGAACCAUCGAGUCUUUGAACGCAAGUUGCGCCCGAAGCCAUUAGGCCGAGGGCACGUCUGCCUGGGCGUCACGC